AUGGGCUUCCGAGAUAUACAUUGUUUCAAUCUGGCUUUGUUAGCCAAACAAGCGUGGCAGUUUCUUGGUAAUCCUAAUUCCCUAUGCGCCACCAUCUUGAGGACUAAAUAUUUUCCGGAUGUCGACUUAAUGAAUGCAAGUCUAAAAAAUGGUUCUUACUUUAAUUGGCAAAGCAUUAUGGCGGGAGUUGAUUCUCUCAAACAUGGUUAUAUUAGAGUUGGAAAUGGACAAAAUAUAGAUAUUUGGAAAGAUUCAUGGAUUCCGAACUAUGCAAAUAGGAAAAAUAUUACACCUAGAAGAGGAAAUCAUCUGUCAAAAGUUGUUGAUCUUAUCAAUCUAGUCACCUAUUAUUGGGAUAAAGAUUUACUAAGACAAGCGUCGUGGCCAAUUGAUGCUCAAAGGGUGCCCGCGAUUCCCCUCGAUAUGCAUAAUAUGACAGAUUUCAUUGCUUGGAGCUAUACACAGAAUGGAUUGUGCAUGCUUCGUUCAGCUUAGUUGAAGGAAUGGAACAAACAACAUGGGUGUAAAUUGCAACACACAAAUGGUAUGGGUAGAACAAAUGUAAAUCCUAUUUGGAGUAAGAUUUGAGAAUUAUCUUGUCCAGCAAAGGUGAAAAUUUUCAUUUGCCAUACUUUGCACGGAACCCUCCCUCGUCGUGUUACACUUGCUAAUAGACAUAUGAAAGUUCCGCACAUCUGCCCAUCAUGUUUGAAUGUGCCAGAAGAUACAGAACACAUGUUGUUUCUGUGUCAGAAGGCGAAACAGGUUUGGGAGAAGCUGGGAUUGCAUGAGGCCAUUAGUAAAGCUUGUGCUAUCGGUCAUGCGGGAGAGGCAGUUCUUGAAUUCUUACUUCUUAUGCCAGAGCAAGAACUACCUAUAGUGGGAAUCCAGUAUGUACGUGACUUGAUCGCUAUAUCAACUUGGUAUUUAUGGUGGGACAGAUGUACUCCGGUUCAUCAGGGAAAGUCUCAAGAUCCAUACCGAACUUCGAUGGGGGCCCGUGCUAUAAUGGCAAACUAUGUUAAUGCACACUCCUCAAGGGCAACAAAUAGAAUAGAGGGAUGGACAAGACCUUUGAUGGGUUUUGUGACAUUGGAUGUCGAUGCUUCUUCUUAG
rnacentral:rRNA from 1 species